rnacentral:SRP_RNA from 1 species
UAAGGGCGCCCAGACAAUGAAUGACUAUAAACCCCGCCAGAUCCGGAAGGAAGCAACGGUAGUAGUUUUUUUAUGUGUUUGUAGUUGUUCUUGGUG